rnacentral:rRNA from 1 species
GACGAACGCUGGCGGCGUGCUUAACACAUGCAAGUCGAGCGGUAAGGCUCCUUCGGGAGUACACGAGCGGCGAACGGGUGAGUAACACGUGAGUAAUCUGCCCUUCACUUCGGGAUAACCACCGGAAACGGUGGCAAAUACCGAAUACGACCAGUCUUCGCAUGAGGUGCUGGUGGAAAGUCUUUUCGGUGAAGGAUGUGCUCGCGGCCUAUCAGCUUGUUGGUGGGGUAAUGGCCUACCAAGGGUUCGACGGGUAGCCGGCCUGAGAGGGUGACCGGCCACACUGGGACUGAGACCCGGCCAAGACUCCUACGGGAGGCAGCAGUGGGGAAUAUGAGACAAUGGGCGAAAGCCUGAUCCAGCAACGCCGCGUGAGGGAUGACGGCCAUCGGGUUGUAAACCGCUUUCAGUACCGACGAAGCGACCUGUCGGGUGGUGACGGUAGGUACAGAAGAAGGACCGGCCAACUACGUG